ACGAACGCUGGCGGCGUGCUUAACACAUGCAAGUCGAACGGAGAUUUAAGAGGAAGCUUGCGAAUCUUAAAUCUUAGUGGCGGACGGGUGAGUAACACGUGGAUAACCUGCCUGUAAGACCGGGACAACACCUGGAAACGGGUGCUAAUACCGGGUAAGCUCUUAAUGCUGCAUGGUGAGAAGAGGAGAGGGGAAACCCGCUUACAGAUGGAUCCGCGGCCCAUUAGCUAGUUGGCGGUGUAACGGACCACCAAGGCGACGAUGGGUAGCCGGCCUGAGAGGGUGAUCGGCCACACUGGAACUGAGACACGGUCCAGACUCCUACGGGAGGCAGCAGUGGGGAAUCUUCCGCAAUGGGCGAAAGCCUGACGGAGCAACGCCGCGUGAAUGAUGAAGGCCUUCGGGUUGUAAAAUUCUGUCUUCAGGGAAGAAAAAAAUGACGGUACCUGAGGAGGAAGCCCCGGCUAACUACGU
rnacentral:rRNA from 1 species